rnacentral:snRNA from 1 species
AGGCUCCCAAAGGCACGU